CGGUUAGUGGCGGACUGGUGAGUAACACGUAAGUAACCUGCCUAUCAGAGGGGAAUAACAAUGAGAAAUCAUUGCUAAUACCGCAUAAGCUAGUAGUAUCGCAUGAUACAGCUAGAAAAGGAGCAAUCCGCUGAUAGAUGGACUUGCGUCUGAUUAGCUAGUUGGUGGGGUAACGGCCUACCAAGGCGACGAUCAGUAGCCGAGCUGAGAGGCUCUACGGCCACAUUGGGACUGAGAUACGGCCCAGACUCC
rnacentral:rRNA from 1 species